rfam:Pteropus alecto contig169342, whole genome shotgun sequence.
GGCUCCAUAGUGUAGUGGUUAGCAUGUCUGCUUUACACGCAGAAGGUCCUGGGUUUGCACCCCUGGUGGAGCCA